rnacentral:rRNA from 1 species
GACAGAGGGUGCAAACGUUGUUCGGAAUUACUGGGCGUAAAGCGCGUGUAGGCUGCUUCGAAAGUCGGGUGUGAAAGCCCCGGGCUCAACCUGGGAAGUGCACUCGAAACUUCGGAGCUCGAGUCCUGGAGAGGAAGGCGGAAUUCUCGGUGUAGAGGUGAAAUUCGUAGAUAUCGAGAGGAACACCGGUGGCGAAGGCGGCCUUCUGGACAGUGACUGACGCUGAGACGCGAAAGCGUGGGGAGCAAACAGG